rnacentral:misc_RNA from 1 species
AACUUCCACCUGGCUUACCUCCNUCAUUUAUGCGUCAUGACUUGUAUUGUCUUGAGCGUAUUGUGGGUUUCCUGUGUUGCAUACCUAACUAAUGGUAUCGUUUUGGUUGAUCGAAGUCCCUUUUCGUCUUGUGUUGCCUUUGUGAUGCAUGAUGAACCUUGAAGCGGUCUCUAUGUUCCACCACGUUGAUGCUAGUGUUUCGAUGUUGUGGCCCAUUGAGUGUUGCUUGGUUUCGUGGAUACAGAACAUGAUUUGGGCAUAGGGUCACUUGUGACUCUUGUUCUGUCCUUUACCGGUGUUCUUUAUAACGACGGUUCAUGUGCGUCUAGGCUUUGUACCUGCGCCAUGUUCUUGUUGAAGAGGAAUGCUACCUGGUUGAUCCUGCCAGUAGUCAUAUGCUUGUCUCAAAGAUUAAGCCAUGCAU